ACACCGCACGAGUCCCAUUUGUGCCUCCCGAGUGCAAGUUCACCCAAGUGGUGACUUUUUAGGGACUCUCUUUCUCGCCUCGCAGAAGCCUUCUGUGGCUACCCGCCCCCUGUCCAGUUGCUCCGACGUGGCUACUUGGCGGGUUGGGCCUUAUAAAGGGCCGCGGGCAGCUCCUCGCAAAGCAGAGACGUGGCGCUUCUACUAGGCCGGCCUCGGCUCCAGAUAGAUCAGACAAAUGAACAUCCAGGGAAACAGAGCAAGAGAUCCCCACGUGGCCCCUGAUGGCUUUCGGAGAGGGUCUUCUUCAUAGACAGAGCCAGCUGGGCUAAUUUGCACUUCUGCAAGGAUUUGAGCCUCACCAAGAAAUUUGUGAACUUUGCUGAUCUGAUGUCUUCUUGACCCAGCUCACCAGGAAUGUCAGUCACAAGCACUGAAGGAGAAAGGAGCAGUUAAAUGGCCUGAUUGCAGCCCAAGAAUGGAGCAGGGAGGAGCUGAAGAGAGCCUGGCCUGGGAGACAUGAAGACAGCUGUGGACCACAGUUGGCUUUCCCAGAAGACUCACUAACUGUGGGCUUUGAAAUGUAACAAGAUUACUAAAUUAUUAAAAAAAAAAAAAAAAAAAAAAAAAAA